AUUGAACGCUGGCGGCAGGCCUAACACAUGCAAGUCGAGCGCGAAAGUUCUUCGGAAUGAGUAAAGCGGCGGACGGGUGAGUAAUACAUGGGAAUCUGCCUGGUAGUGGGGGACAACGUUUCGAAAGGAACGCUAAUACCGCAUACGCCCUACGGGGGAAAGGGGGGGGGAUCUUCGGACCUCUCGCUAUCAGAUGAGCC
rnacentral:rRNA from 1 species